UACAGAGGGUGCAAGCGUUUAAUCGGAAUUACUGGGCGUAAAGCGUGCGUAGACGGUUAUGUAAGUCAGGUGUGAAAGCCCAGGGCUCAACCUUGGAAUUGCAUUUGAGACUGCAUAGCUAGGGUGCGGAAGAGGGAAGCGGAAUUUCCGGUGUAGCGGUGAAAUGCGUAGAUAUCGGAAGGAACACCAGUGGCGAAAGCGGCUUCCUGGUCCAGCACCGACGUCAGGCACGAAAGCGUGGGGAGCAAACAGG
rnacentral:rRNA from 1 species